rnacentral:tRNA from 1 species
GCCUCUAUAGCUCAGUGGUAGAGCGCUUGACUUGUAGCUUAGCGUGACAUCAAGAGGUCCGUGGUUCAAUCCCGCGUGGAGGCA